CGUGAGAUGUUGGGUUAAGUCCCGCAACGAGCGCAACCCCUAUUGUUAGUUGCUACGCAAGAGCACUCUAGCGAGACUGCCGUUGACAAAACGGAGGAAGGUGGGGACGACGUCAAAUCAUCAUGCCCCUUAUGUCCUGGGCUACACACGUAAUACAAUGGCGGUCAACAGAGGGAUGCAAAACCGUAAGGUGGAGCGAACCCCUAAAAGCCGUCCCAGUUCAGAUCGUGGGCUGCAACCCGCCCACGUGAAGUCGGAUC
rnacentral:rRNA from 1 species